GAUGAAGAACGCAGCGAAAUGCGAUAAGUAAUGUGAAUUGCAGAAUUCAGUGAAUCAUCGAAUCUUUGAACGCACAUUGCGCCCGCUGGUAUUCCAGCGGGCAUGUCCGUUCGAGCGUCAUUUCAACCCUCGAACCCCUCCGGGGGGUCGGCGUUGGGGAUCGGCCCCUCACCGGGCCGCCCCCGAAAUCCAGUGGCGGUCUCGCCGCAGCCUCUCCUGCGCAGUAGUUUGCACACUCGCACCGGGAGCGCGGCGCGGCCACAGCCGUAAAACACCCCAAACUCUGAAAUGUUGACCUCGGAUCAGGUAGGAAUACCCGCUGAACUUAAGCAUAUCAAUAAGCGGAGGA
rnacentral:misc_RNA from 1 species